rnacentral:rRNA from 1 species
GAUGAACGCUGGCGGUGUGCCUAAUACAUGCAAGUCGAGCGAACGGACGAGAAGCUCGCUUCCCUGAUGUUAGCGGCGGACGGGUGAGUAACACGUGGAUAACAUACUUAUAAGACUGGGAUAACUUCGGGAAACAGGAGCUAAUACCGGCUAAUAUUUUGAACCGCAUGGUUCAAAAGUGCUAGACGGUCUUGCUGUCACUUAUAGAUGGUUCCGCGCUGCAUUAGCUAGUUGGUAAGGUAACGGCUUACCAAGGCAACGAUGCAUAGCCGACCUGAGAGGGUGAUCGGCCACACUGGAACUGAGACACGGUCCAGACUCCUACGGGAGGCAGCAGUAGGGAAUCUUCCGCAAUGGGCGAAAGCCUGACGGAGCAACGCCGCGUGAGUGAAGAAGGUCUUCGGAUCGUAAAACUCUUUUAUUAGGGAAGAACAUAUGUGUAAGUAACUGUGCACAUCUUGACGGUACCUAAUCAGAAAGCCACGGCUAACUUCGUG